rnacentral:rRNA from 1 species
GACGAACGCUGGCGGCGCGCCUAACACAUGCAAGUCGAACGAGCGAGAGAGAGCUUGCUUUCUCGAGCGAGUGGCGAACGGGUGAGUAACGCGUGAGGAACCUGCCUCAAAGAGGGGGACAACAGUUGGAAACGACUGCUAAUACCGCAUAAGCCCACAGGUCGGCAUCGACCAGAGGGAAAAGGAGCAAUCCGCUUUGAGAUGGCCUCGCGUCCGAUUAGCUAGUUGGUGAGGUAAUGGCCCACCAAGGCAACGAUCGGUAGCCGGACUGAGAGGUUGAACGGCCACAUUGGGACUGAGACACGGCCCAGACUCCUACGGGAGGCAGCAGUGGGGAAUAUUGCACAAUGGGGGAAACCCUGAUGCAGCGACGCCGCGUGGAGGAAGAAGGUCUUCGGAUUGUAAACUCCUGUUGUUGAGGAAGAUAAUGACGGUACUCAACAAGGAAG